AUUGAACGCUGGCGGUAUGCUUAAGACAUGCAAGUCGUGCGGUAGAAGGCUUCGGCCUUUGAGAGCGGCGGACGGGUGAGCAACACGUGGGAAUCUGCCUAUUAGUGGGGGACAGCCCAGCGAAAGCUGGAUUAAUACCGCAUACGCCUACGGGGGAAAGGCAGCAAUGCGCUAAUAGAUGAGCCGCGUAAGAUUAGCUAGUUGGUAAGGUAAAGGCCUACCAAGCCGACGAUCUGUAGCUGGUCUGAGAGGACGACCAGCCACACUGGGACUGAGACACGGCCCAGACUCCUACGGGAGGCAGCAGUGGGGAAUUUUGGACAAUGGACGCAAGUCUGAUCCAGCAAUGCCGCGUGCAGGACGAAGGCCUUC
rnacentral:rRNA from 1 species